rnacentral:rRNA from 1 species
CUUUAGAAAUUAAGGAGCGGAUAUCAGGCUCGCCCCUGCAGCCCAAGACACCUUGCUCAGCCACGCCCCCACGGGACCUCAGCAGUGAUUAAUAUUAGUAAAUGAACGAAAGUUCGAUCCAGUUAUGGUUUUAAGGGCCGGUCAAUCUCGUGCCAGCUACCGCGGUUAUACGAGCGGCCCAAAUUAAUAAGAUUAACGGCGUAAAGAGUGUAUAAAGAUGUAAUCUUCCCCCUUUAAAGCUGAAAUACUGCCCAACUGUUAUACGUACUCGCACUAAUAAAAAACAAUUAUGAAAAUAGCUUUAUAUAAAUAAGAUAUCUCGUAUCACGAUAGCUAAAAACCAAACUGGGAUUAGAUACCCCACUAUGUUUAGCCUUAAACCUAGGUGUUUAAAUUACCACAACACCCGCCAGAGAACUACGAGCGCCAGCUUAAAACCCAAAGGACUUGGCGGUGCCUUAGACCCCCCUAGAGGAGCCUGUUCUAGAACCGAUAAUCCCCGUUUAACCUCACCACCCCUUGCUAUUACAGCCUAUAUACCGCCGUCGCCAGCUUGCCCUAUGAAGGAAAAACAGCAAGCAUAAAGAAUUACCUCCAAAACGUCAGGUCGAGGUGUAGCAUAUGGGAUGGGAAGAAAUGAGCUACAUUUUCUUUAAAGACUAACAGAUAAAUAAUGAAAUAAAUUUGAAGUUGGAUUUAGUAGUAAGAAUUAAAUAGUAUAUUAAUCUG